rnacentral:rRNA from 1 species
UACAGAGGUGUCAAGCGUUGUUCGGAUUCAUUGGGCGUAAAGGGUGCGUAGGCGGCGCGGUAAGUCGGGUGUGAAAUCUUGGAGCUUAACUCCGAAACUGCAUUCGAUACUGCCGUGCUUGAGGACUGGAGAGGAGACUGGAAUUUACGGUGUAGCGGUGAAAUGCGUAGAUAUCGUAAGGAAGACCAGUGGCGAAGGCGGGUCUCUGGACAGUUCCUGACGCUGAGGCACGAAGGUCAGGGGAGCAAACGGG